UGGGGAAUUUUGGACAAUGGGCGCAAGCCUGAUCCAGCCAUGCCGCGUGCAGGAUGAAGGCCUUCGGGUUGUAAACUGCUUUUGUACGGAACGAAAAGACUCCUUCUAAUAAAGGGUGUCCAUGACGGUACCGUAAGAAUAAGCACCGGCUAACUACGUGCCAGCGGCCGCGGUAAUACGUAGGGUGCGAGCGUUAACCGGAAUUACUGGGCGUAAAGCGUGCGCAGGCGGUUAUAUAAGACAGAUGUGAAAUCCCCGGGCUCAACCUGGGAACUGCAUUUGUGACUGUAUAGCUAGAGUACGACAGAAAGGGAUGUAAUUCCGCGUGUAGCAGUGAAAUUCGUAGAUAUGCGGAGGAACACCGAUGACGAUGACAAUCCCCUGGACAUGUACUGACGCUCAUGAACGAAAGCGUGAGAAACAAACA
rnacentral:rRNA from 1 species